rnacentral:SRP_RNA from 1 species
GCUGGGCACGGUGGCGCGUGCCUGUAGUCCCAGCUAUUCGGGAGGCUGAGGCUGGAGGAUCUCUUGAGCCCAGGAGUUCUGGGCUGUAGUGCGGUAUGACGAUCGUGUCCGCACUAAGUUCGGCAUCAAUAUUAUGACCUCCCAGGAGCGGGGGACCACCAGGUUGCCUAAAGAAGGGUGAACCGGCCCAGGUCGGAAACGGAGCAGGUCAAAACUCCCGUGCUGAUCAGUAGUGGGAUCGCGCCUGUGAAUAGCCACUGCACUCCAGCCUGGGCAACAUAGUGAGACCCCGUCUCU